rnacentral:tRNA from 1 species
UUAAUUGAAGCCAAAUAGAGGCUAUUCAUUGUUAAUGAAUAAAAUGAUUAGUUAAUCCAAUUAAA